rnacentral:rRNA from 1 species
UACGUAGGUGACCAGCGUUGUCCGGAUUUAUUGGGCGUAAAGCGCUCGCAGGCGGUCCCGUGCGUCGUGCGUGAAAGGCCCCGGCUCAACCGGGGGCGGUCGUGCGAUACGGCGGGACUGGAGGCCAGUAGGGGGACGCGGAAUUCCGGGUGUAGUGGUGGAAUGCGUAGAGAUCCGGAGGAACACCAGCGGCGAAGGCGGCGUCCUGGACUGGACCUGACGCUCAGGAGCGAAAGCGUGGGGGGCGAUCCGG